rnacentral:piRNA from 1 species
UAAAUGGUGCACGCGGUGGCGAUGG